ensembl:rRNA 5S_rRNA 5S ribosomal RNA
GUCUCCGGCCAUGCUACCCUGAGCAAGCCUGAUCCCGUCUGAUCUCAGAAGCUAAGCAGGGUUGAGUCGGGCCUGGUUAGUACUUGAAUGGGAGACCAUCUAGGAAGACCAGGUGCUGUAAAAA